UACGGAGGAUGCAAGCGUUAUCCGGAAUUAUUGGGCGUAAAGCGUCCGCAGGUGGCACUUCAAGUCUGUCGUCAAAGACCGGGGCUUAACCCUGGAAAGGCGAUGGAAACUGAAAGGCUAGAGAGAGGUAGGGGUAGAGGGAAUUCCCAGUGUAGCGGUGAAAUGCGUAGAGCUCGGGAAGAACACCGGUGGCGAAAGCGCUCUGCUAGGCCGCAACUGACACUGAGGGACGAAAGCUAGGGGAGCGAAUGGG
rnacentral:rRNA from 1 species